UCAUUGUGUACAAUUUGGAAAUUAGUAUGGCGUUCAUUAUCACUGAACUAGUAUAUAUUUGUUUAGGGGCCAGCUGAAGGACGCCUCCGGGUGCGGGAAUUUCUCGCUACAUUGAAGACCUGUUGGUGACCUUCUGCUGUUGUGUUUUUUUAUUUUGGUCGGGUUGUUGUCUCUUUGACACAUUCCCCAUUUCCAUUCUCAAUUUUAUUUUAUACAAUAUACAAUG
rnacentral:lncRNA from 1 species